rnacentral:rRNA from 1 species
UACGUAGGGUGCGAGCGUUAAUCGGAAUUACUGGGCGUAAAGCGUGCGCAGGCGGUAAUGUAAGACAGAUGUGAAAUCCCCGGGCUUAACCUGGGACCUGCAUUUGUGACUGCAUUGCUGGAGUGCGGCAGAGGGGGAUGGAAUUCCGCGUGUAGCAGUGAAAUGCGUAGAGAUGUGGAGGAACACCGAUGGCGAAGGCAGCCCCCUGGGCCAAUACUGACGCUCAUGCACGAAAGCGUGGGGAGCAAACAGG